rnacentral:lncRNA from 1 species
GGGCAGAAUCAAUUUGCGCCAAUUGCAGUUUUGAAAAGGUAUUAAUUGCGCCACUCUCUUUAAUUUUGAUGGUAUUAAUUGCGCCAAUAAAUGAAAUGAAAUUGCGCCACAUUUACCUGUUAAUAUUUUUUACCUAUAUCAUACCUGUGCAUGUUUUACCUAUAUCAAGACAAGACAAGACAAGACAAAUACAAGACAAGACAAGACAAGACAAAUACUUUAUUAAAGUCUCACCACUUGUUACAUAUGAAAUAUACAGCUUUUUAAAACACAAGUUAACAACAAGAGCCACUGUAUAAAUAGUUUUGAGAGACUAUAAAAC